CGAUGUCUAUAGCAACGUCGCACCUACAGAAAUUCGACGUCUCAUUAACGUCACCUAAAGACGUCGGUUCGGGAGGUGAUGUUAAAAGCCCAAAAUAACUAACAUCUAAAGCCCUUGUACGUAAAUUUUUUUUAUAUAUAUAUAUAUAUAUAUGGGCUUGUUAAUGUGCGUACGCCUGUUUUUCAGUUGGUACGUUUUAACAAUGUGUACCGGAUUAUAGUAGACAAAAAUACCCUCAUAUAUCAUGGAUUCUAAGUUUUAAGGUCAAGGAUAUUUAAAUAAUUUUCAUUCUCAAAACUAAAAAAAAAAAAAAGAAACCCCCAAACUUACUCACCUCCCUCAUUUCUCUCAACCAUUUCUCUUUCAUCUCUCUCACUCCAACAUUUUCUCUGUCAUCCCUACUGUUGCCCCAAUUGAAAAAGAAAAAAAUCAGAAACCCUUGCCUAACCCUAAUCCACCUUCCUCACUUAUCCAAUUUGUUUCUCUC
rnacentral:lncRNA from 1 species